UAAUUGUUGGAUGGAAACAAAUAGAAUACUUCCUCUUUUUUGGGUUCCAAUAUUCUGUUGAGUGUCUUCCAGGUAAUCUUGCUGUUGCUGUUGUUGUCCUCUAGCUGUUACAUGAUUUGGUGGAUCCAAGCCUGUUGUGAUCCAGCUACUUGCUGUGGCGGCCUGGCCAUUAUGUUGUUGAGCAUCUGAGAUGAAGCAUGGAGCGCUGCUUGUGAGGCUGACCUCUGACCUGCUUUGUGUGUGAACACCGCAGCAACACCUGCAACAUAUUCAACGGUUGGUUUCAAGAGACGAAGGAAAGGGACAAAAAUGUACUAGAUAAGUGGUAUGAAGUUCCCUCUAUAUGCUUAUGUUUGAGUCAUAAUUUUUUUUUUUUUUUUGUACAAUAUUCUGAUAUAUAAAACAUUGGAAUGAAUCUUACAUUGUUAUUUAUGGGGAAAUAAAUAACAAUAGUCAUUCAGAAAUACAUUAAUUGGGUAUUAUCAGGCAUGUAAGUCAAAAAACGUCCUGUAAGAAGUAUACAGCCUGGUGAGCCGACAGUACGAUCCUAGACAAUAAUAGAACUGCAGAGGCUGAAGUUCUACACAUUGCAGCCCAAUGAGUUUCUAGAGCAAAGAUUUUUACAAAGCACUGGUUUUGGACAAUAGAACAGUGUUUCCACAGAAUCAGUAAAGCUUUAUUGCCUUUGUCAAGGGAGGGUUUCACAGGAAUUUUCUUCGGCGCAAUUGUGAAAAUAAAAAAAAAAAACAUCAAAGAAAAAAAUAAAAUAUAUAAUUACAAUGGAAGUACUUUGAGAGUAUGACGAAUGAAAUAAAUUUAGUGUUCAUGAGUCUGACCGAGAGGAAGAAUCUUGAAGUGAGCGGUCUGGUCGGUGAUCCGACCUACACAUCCCAAGGUCCUGGAGACAUGGCAGCCGACAUGCAUGAUCUGCCGCAGUGUGCACCUGUCCCUGGUGGUGGCACUGGUGUACCACACAGAGAUGGAGGAGGUGGCGUUGAAGUUGAUGAGGGUGGUGUCGUCUGCAAACUUGAACAGUUGCAUCAGGUUCUCCCAAUUUAUAUGCUGUGCAGCCUCCAACGAGGAGUGGCACCGUGAGCUCUUAGGUCCUUCUGGUUCCUAUGACCGUAGAGGAAGAGCAAACGAAGUUGACAGGUAGCAAGGAGCCGUUUCAGACUGCUAUAUUCAACACUGUAGACAGCGUUCGUACCGACUGAUUAACUAGUUUGCCUUCAUAGGUCCAAAAUCAGUCAUGAUUCCGCUUUUAUUUUGUUCCUUUGACUCCCAUUUUGUUUCUCCCUCCUUCCUUCCUGUGUUUGUGGCACAUGGCUGGAGCCAAUCAACCCCUUAUCUUCCAAGCUUAAGAACACACCUGGACUCCAGCAACGUGCGCCGCCAGAUCAACUCCUUUGCUCCUCCUUCUUCGGUGAUGCUCUGGAUUGGUUUUCUGUUUUCUUCUCCUGGUUCGAUGACGCCUUUUGUUAUGUAUUUUUGUAUUUUCUUAUUAAAUAAUUGUAUUGACUCGCUCCAGCCUCCUGUCACUUUCAUCACUGCACUUGGGUCCCUCCUCGCGUGUUGAACCAUAACAGAAUCAGUGCCUCGGCGCAACGGUUCAACGCCGUCACGGUCAUUGAGCUGUCGUCACCAGCUUCCUUCAGCUGUUUUAUGGAUUAAGCUUGCAAGUUUCUGAAUAAAUUGAAAUAUCCCAGCGAUUGUGUUUAUGUAUUCAAGAAUGAUAGAUGUGGAGUAUCUGAAGUACAUAGUUGAGCUUUUGAUCACCAGUGUGAGCCUCGACUGAUGCUAAUGUGGUGCUAAUGUUGACUCCUAAAACCAACAAAUCACGUCUUCUAAUCUGGGAACUAAGGAUCAAAACAACCUGGGUGAAGCACGUUGAAGACAAAUCAACACAUCUGCAGAUCAACAUUGUUGCAAGUUACAGCUGAUAUGUGUUCACCACAGACAUUGGCUAAGACCAAGGAGAACACACGCACAACUUCUUAAUUGUAUGUUAGUUUAUUGGACAUCAUUAGACCCGGAUGAGUCCAGGAGUUUACUUCCACUGCGUAGCUGAAGCUCAGGCAG